AGAAGGUUGCUCCUCUGGGCCAAUAGAAAACCUCUGGAGUCGGGUGCUGACGUUGAUGCGUCAAAUUGCGUGCCGCCUGCGUAGGAAGCAACCGGCCCUGUGACUGGUCCAGCACAGAACAUAGCGCAGGCAAGGGUACAAACUCCAACAGAAAGUCUAAGGGUAUGUCUUCACUACCAGCCGGAUCGGCGGGCAGCGAUCGAUCCCUGAGCACUUUCCCAUCGACUUCUGUACUCCAGCUUGGCAAGAGGCAUAGGCAGAGUCGACGGGGGAGCGGCAGCCAUCAACUCACCGCGAUGAAGACACCACAAUUGUCGGUUUUGGGAUGCUGCGGCAUUGAACCCAGACAGUUUGGCAGCUGGACUCUCUGAUACAGGUGUGAACAGAGCCAACUUCAUAAACAAUUUCUACACUCCUCCCUUGGUGAGCUGCCUUCUUUGGCUGGAAUUCAGUAGCUUUGGAAACAGGUGGAUGACCCCAGUGAGAGGUAGUAGAGAUUUUAAUAUCCGUUGCUCUGAUUCAGUGAAAACAAAGAAAAUGUUAUGUGUUGUAUAUUUAAAUUGCUAGUGAAAGUCAGUUGGCAAUUUAUUUUACUACUUAGAUUAUGAAAUUGACAGACUGCAUUUGAAAGAGUAGUAUUAGGAGCUCAAAGCUUUGUCUUUCUGACAGAAACAUUAAAGAGAAGGCCAAGAACACAAUGUAUAUUUUGAUGUUAUUAAAUGUAACUGUUAAAGAGAGAUGAAUUUAAGAAAAGAUCAAAAUCAUUGAAGGGUGAAGAUAAACUAGUGUGAUAUACAUAUGGAGUAUAAAGAUCUGAUCUUGCAAACCCUUGCUUACGUAAACAGUUCUAAUAUGAAUAAGGGUUAGAAGAAUCAGGCCUAAUAUGAUGUACUAGUAGUGGUAGUAAGUGCAAUUCAAAGGGACACUAUCAAUUUAAGAUCAUACUGAAAACCAGUUGUUUUUUUUACUUUGCGCCACCCCCACCCUUACCCUUGUCCGCACCCCCCAGGAGUUAGGCCGGGAGUGGGACCGUGGCUCUGGGAAGGGGAUAUGCGGACGGGGUAAGAGUGAUGAGGCUGGGGCCGUAACUAAGGGCGGGAGC